rnacentral:rRNA from 1 species
CCUACGGGCGACAGCAGUGAGGAAUAUUGGUCAAUGGGCGGAAGCCUGAACCAGCCAAGUAGCGUGCAGGAUGACGGCCCUACGGGUUGUAAACUGCUUUUAUACGGGAAUAACGCGCCUUACGUGUAGGGCUUUGCAUGUACCGUAUGAAUAAGGACCGGCUAAUUCCGUGCCAGCAGCCGCGGUAAUACGGAAGGUCCGGGCGUUAUCCGGAUUUAUUGGGUUUAAGGGGAGCGUAGGCCGCAUGUCAAGCGUGCUGUGGAAUGUCCGGGCUCAACCCGGGCCUUGCAGCGCGAACUGGCGUGCGUGAGGGCGCGGAAAGCAGGCGGAAGUCGUGGUGUAGCGGUGAAAUGCUUAGAUAUGACGAAGAACGCCGAGUGCGAAGGCAGCUUGCUGCAGCGGAACUGACGCUGAUGCUCGAAAGCGCGGGUAUCGAACAGGAUUAGAUACCCCAGUAGUC